UGGUGUUGCCAACAAACCAAAGAAGCAAGU
rnacentral:piRNA from 1 species